rnacentral:rRNA from 1 species
AAAAGUUUGGCGGUAUUUAAGUUCCAUUAGAGGAAUUUGUAGUUUAAUCGAUAAUCCCCGACAAUCUCCCCUUAUUUUGUAUUUCAACUUAUAUACCGUUGUCUUUCAGAUUUCAUUUUUAAGGUGUUUUCUAAUAAAAUGUAUAAUGUCAGAUCAAGGUGUAGUUUAUAAUAAGGUUACUAUGAAUUACAAUUAAUGUAUUAAUAUGAAUAUUAUUUUGAAAAAGAUAAUUGAAGGUGGAUUUAAUUGUAAAUUUCAUUUAUUAUAUGAAAUUGAAUGAGUUCCUAAAAU